AGAGUUUGAUCCUGGCUCAGGACGAACGCUGGCGGCGUGCUUAACACAUGCAAGUCACGGGGGCCCGCAAGGGUAACCGGCGAACGGGUGCGUAACACGUGAGCAAUUUGCCGAUUUCUGGGGGAUAGCCGGCCCAACGGCCGGGUAAUACCGCAUACGCUGGAGGAGGGGAGUCCCUUUUCCAGGAAACCUCCGGGGGAAAUCGAGGAGCUCGCGGCCUAUCAGCUAGUUGGUGGGGUAACGGCCCACCAAGGCGACGACGGGUAGCUGGUCUGAGAGGAUGGCCAGCCACAUUGGGACUGAGAGACGGCCCAGACUCCUACGGGAGGCAGCAGUGGGGAAUCUUGCGCAAUGGCCGAAAGGCUGACGCAGCGACGCCGCGUGUGGGAUGAAGCAUUUCGGUGUGUAAACCACUGUUGCCCGGGACGAACAGCUCUUUUCGAGGAGCCUGACGGUACCGGGUGAGGAAGCACCGGCUAACUCCGUGCCAGCAGCCGCGGUAAUACGGAGGGUGCGAGCGUUGUCCGGAAUCACUGGGCGUAAAGGGCGCGUAGGUGGCGCGAGUAGUCAACGGUGAAAGCCCGGGGCUCAACCCCGGGUCGGCCGUCGAUACUCUCGUGCUUGAGCACUGUAGAGGCAGGUGGAAUUCCGGGUGUAGCGGUGGAAUGCGUAGAGAUCCGGAAGAACACCGGUGGCGAAGGCGGCCUGCUGGGCAGUAGCUGACACUGAGGCGCGACAGCGUGGGGAGCAAACAGGAUUAGAUACCCUGGUAGUCCACGCCGUAAACGAUGAUAACUAGCUGUCGGGGGUCAUGGACUUUCGGUGGCGCAGCUAACGCAUUAAGUUAUCCGCCUGGGGAGUACGGCCGCAAGGUUAAAACUCAAAGAAAUUGACGGGGGCCUGCACAAGCGGUGGAGCAUGUGGUUUAAUUCGAAGCAACGCGCAGAACCUUACCAGCGUUUGACAUCCUCAUCGCGGUUACCAGAGAUGGUUUCCUUCAGUUCGGCUGGAUGAGUGACAGGUGCUGCAUGGCUGUCGUCAGCUCGUGUCGUGAGAUGUUGGGUUAAGUCCCGCAACGAGCGCAACCCUCGUCUUUAGUUGCCAUCAUUUAGUUGGGCACUCUAAAGAAACCGCCGGUGAUAAGCCGGAGGAAGGUGGGGAUGACGUCAAGUCCUCAUGGCCCUUACGCGCUGGGCUACACACGUGCUACAAUGGCGGUGACAACGGGUUGCUACCUCGCGGGGGGAAGCUAAUCCCAAAAAGCCGUCUCAGUUCGGAUUGUUCUCUGCAACUCGAGAGCAUGAAGGCGGAAUCGCUAGUAAUCGCGGAUCAGCAUGCCGCGGUGAAUACGUUCCCAGGCCUUGUACACACCGCCCGUCACACCAUGGGAGUUGGAUUCACCCGAAGGCGUUGCGCUAACCCGUAAGGGAGGCAGGCGACCACGGUGGGUUUAGCGACUGGGGUGAAGUCGUAACAAGGUA
rnacentral:rRNA from 1 species